rnacentral:rRNA from 1 species
UACGAGUGCCCCAAGCGUUAUCCGGAAUCAUUGGGCGUAAAGGGUGUGUAGGUGGUUUCUUUAGUCUUCUGUUAAAAUCCGGGGCUCAACUUCGGACUUGCAGAGGAAACGGAGAGACUAGAGGAUGCGAGAGGUGAAUGGAACUCAUGGAGUAGGGGUGAAAUCCGUUGAUAUCAUGGGGAACACCAAAAGCGAAGGCAAUUCACUGGCGCAUUUCUGACACUGAAACACGAAAGCGUGGGUAGCGAACGGG